rnacentral:tRNA from 1 species
GCGAAAUUGGUAGACGCACCAGAUUUAGGUUCUGGCGCCGCGAGGCGUAAGAGUUCAAGUCUCUUCUUCCGCACCA